GAUGAACGCUGGCGGCGUGCCUAAUACAUGCAAGUAGAACGCUGAAGGAGGAGCUUGCUCUUCUGGAUGAGUUGCGAACGGGUGAGUAACGCGUAGGUAACCUGCCUGGUAGCGGGGGAUAACUAUUGGAAACGAUAGCUAAUACCGCAUGACAACAGUUAUUGCAUGAUAACUGUUUAAAAGGGGCAACUGCUCCACUACCAGAUGGACCUGCGUUGUAUUAGCUAGUUGGUGAGGUAACGGCUCACCAAGGCGACGAUACAUAGCCGACCUGAGAGGGUGAUCGGCCACACUGGGACUGAGACACGGCCCAGACUCCUACGGGAGGCAGCAGUAGGGAAUCUUCGGCAAUGGACGGAAGUCUGACCGAGCAACGCCGCGUGAGUGAAGAAGGUUUUCGGAUCGUAAAGCUCGGUUGUAAGAGAAGAACGAGUGUGAGAGUGGAAAGUUCACACUGUGACGGUAUCUUACCAGAAAGAGACGGCUAACUACGUG
rnacentral:rRNA from 1 species